ACGCUUGCCACUUUGUGGUUCAUGACUGGGGUGAAGUCGUAACAAGGUAGCGCUAGGGGAACCUGGCGCUGGAUCACCUCCUUAUACGAA
rnacentral:rRNA from 1 species